GGGGAAGCCGGUGGGAACCCGGCGCUGACCUGCAACCGUGUGGGGCGCUUCCGCGCCCCGAGUCGGACAACCC
rfam:Streptomyces sp. NRRL F-6491 P443contig40.1, whole genome shotgun sequence.